CCUUGACUCCUGCCUCUGAUCUUCCAGUAAUGGAGGAGGACAACGAGUUGGAGAGGGCGAUGCUGAGUCUGUCCCCAUCGAAAUUCCAGACCCAGCUGACCUCUCCCUGACUGGCCCCUGCGCUGUCUGCAGCUGUUAUUCCACCACGCCCACCACACUCUGCUCCAUCUCCUUCCACGUCUGCUGCUCAUGGUCUACCCCAUCCUGCUCCAACUGCUGCUGAUGCUCUACCCCAUCCUGCUCCAUCUACUAUCCCACUACUCCCCAGGUAUGACCAAGACAUCAGCCAGUGGAACUGCUCCCACAACCAAAAGAUCUGGAUGAAGGCGGAGAUGGAAACUUUGGGACUAUGGCCAGGAUCUCAAGCUGUGCGACAUGUCAUGGGUAUGAUCUCCUUGUGGCGUCAUCCACCCCAACCAGAACUCAUAGAUUCACUCUAUGAUUUGCCAUCUCCGAGAUACUUCCGACUACACCCUUUUUUCAUUUGGAAACCAGCGCAUGGCAUUAUGGAGAGAGUGAGGAACAAUUAUAUCUUGCCCUGUCUCUACGGCUGCUCCCGGGGCUGUCCCGUCGCUAUGAUUUAGCUGGACAGCCGGAGGCAAAGUACCAGUGGGUGGACGAGUAAGAGCCAGAUCACAAAUUGCUUCUAUGCAGGACAGGAAAAUAGUGCAAAACAUAAUGUACUAUAUAGUUACAGAGAUUAAUUGCAUGUAAGUGAUGUA